rnacentral:rRNA from 1 species
CGGCGUGCUUAACACAUGCAAGUCGAACGAAGCAUCCGGAAGUUUUCGGACGGAAGGAUGACUGAGUGGCGGACGGGUGAGUAACGCGUGGGUAACCUGCCUCAUACAGGGGGAUAACAGUUAGAAAUGACUGCUAAUACCGCAUAAGCGCACAGGACCGCAUGGUCCGGUGUGAAAAACUCCGGUGGUAUGAGAUGGACCCGCGUCUGAUUAGCUAGUUGGUGAGGUAACGGCCCACCAAGGCGACGAUCAGUAGCCGACCUGAGAGGGUGACCGGCCACAUUGGGACUGAGACACGGCCCAAACUCCUACGGGAGGCAGCAGUGGGGAAUAUUGCACAAUGGGCGAAAGCCUGAUGCAGCGACGCCGCGUGAGUGAAGAAGUAUUUCGGUAUGUAAAGCUCUAUCAGCAGGGAAGAAAAUGACGGUACCUGACUAAGAAGCACCGGCUAAAUACGUGCCAGCAGCCGCGGUAAUACGUAUGGUGCAAGCGUUAUCCGGAUUUACUGGGUGUAAAGGGAGCGUAGGCGGUCUAGCAAGCCAGAAGUGAAAACCCGGGGCUCAACCCCGCGGAUUGCUUUUGGAACUGUCAGACUGGAGUACUGGAGAGGUAAGUGGAAUUCCUGGUGUAGCGGUGAAAUGCGUAGGAUAUCAGGAGGAACGCCGGGUGGCGAAGGGGACUUUCUGGACAGAAACUGACGCUGAGGCUUGAAAGCGUGGGGAGCAAACAGGAAUUAAAUACCCCUGGUAGUCCCCCCGGUAAACGAUGAAUACUAGUGUUCUGCGGGCAUAGCCCGUAGGUGCCGCCGCAAACGCAAUAAGUAUUCCACCUGGGGAGUACGUUCGCAAGAAUGAAACUCAAAGGAAUUGACGGGGACCCGCACAAGCGGUGGAGCAUGUGGUUUAAUUCGAAGCAACGCGAAGAACCUUACCAAAUCUUGACAUCCCGCUGACGUACCCUUAAUCGGGUAUUCUCUUCGGAGCAGUGGAGACAGGUGGUGCAUGGUUGUCGUCAGCUCGUGUCGUGAGAUGUUGGGUUAAGUCCCGCAACGAGCGCAACCCCUGUCCUUAGUAGCCAGCACGUAGAGGUGGGCACUCUAGGGAGACUGCCGGGGAUAACCCGGAGGAAGGUGGGGAUGACGUCAAAUCAUCAUGCCCCUUAUGAUUUGGGCUACACACGUGCUACAAUGGCGUGGAACAAAGGGAAGCGAGUCUGUGAGGAGGAGCAAACCCCAAAAAACACGUCUCAGUUCGGAUUGUAGUCUGCAACUCGACUACAUGAAGCUGGAAUCGCUAGUAAUCGCGAAUCAGAAUGUCGCGGUGAAUACGUUCCCGGGU